UGUGCAUCUCAUUAGGUCGUUGUCUCCAA
rnacentral:piRNA from 1 species